ACCAUGCAUAUCCAAAGACUCGAAGAGUGACAUAGAGAUCUCCUAUAUCUCGGAAUAAAUUAUUUCUUAUAUGCAAGUCAAUAGAGCGCAGAAAUAAUUCGGCGUAUCGUAUUCAUUGUCCAUUAAAUUUUAAUUUUAAUUAAAUCACCGUGACAGUUCCACGAAACACGUAAUUUGUUAAUAAGCGCGAAGUGAUACGACCAUCAAAGCGUCACUAACCGUGGUACCAUUGAACUGACACACUACUAGCGCCAAUAAUCACAGCUAGCGGGAAUCCCACGUAAAAUUGCGCAGUCGCACAAGGAGCAUCCUACAAUGGCACAGUGGAGGAAAUUAUCUAAGCUUCUUGAGCUUAAUAGUGAAAGGACAAUCACCGCAGACUACCUCUCGGGCGUCUUAUCCCUCAAAGUGAAGAAAGCGAUCCGAUCAAAGAGGAAGAAAGGAAGGAAUCGCAUUUGUCUCCUCAAAGUGCUUCGAAGAGGACAAUGUGAAUGCAGUGACCGAAAAUAUUCGAGACUAGAUCUCACGACCGCGGAUCUUUUUUAACCAGGUCCUAAAACGGCUCCCCUGACGUUGGUAGAAAUGCAUAAAAAUCGCGUUCAUUCAAACUUUUUCACUAUAAUCGUGACUCUACUUGGUUCGAAAGACUCAGAGCUAUAAACGUUAGAUUAAUACCUAGAUCGAAAACAUAUCAGCCACCUGUUCGUUGUAGUAUACAUUCCUUGCGAUUGCAGACUGAAAUUCAAAUUUCGUGUCACAAGACGACGUACAAAACGAACGAUAAAGGUGACCUCAGACCUAUCCCACGGCUGGUACAGUACCUGCUCCGAUCGCGCGCGAACUUGCUCAAACUACGAAGCAACGAUGUCCAAAACGCGUUCCCAAGUCGAGAUCUCAUCGCGAGCUGAUUAGAUGACGCACUCGUGAGAUAAUAGGGCAACUAUCAUCCAUAGUCGGUCGACUGGCUCCGCGGAGUCCUGCGAUUUCUCUGGUUCCGCGUUCGCGUCCUGCGUGUCCCAUUAAAUCCGCGAAAUGGCACCGAUAACUACUAUCGUGUCUGGUCGACCGUCGAUAACGUCGCGAAAUAAUUUUGCAUCUGCUCGUCUCGCGCCCCCGCUGACCGAGUUAUCGCGUUGGGUGCGCUCCUGCGCUAUAACUAUCGAUUAGGCGAGCGGAUCCGCUCGAAUGGAAAAUGGAAUAGCCGCGAUCGUCCUCGGCUCAUCGACGCCGUCAUGGAAAUGCAGGAUCUAACCGAGAUAGCCGCGUUUUGUAUCGACACUGGUUCCGACGUCUACCGGAAUUACGCCAAAUCCCGGUUCUCCAACGAACGACGGAGUUGUACUCGUAUUGUAUUCGAGUAUGAUUCUUGCGCAUUUAGACUGUCUUACGAGGUCUUCUCAUUUCUAAUUGGAUAUUAAGUGAGGACAAUAUUUUAGGAAUCUAGACUUAAAUAAUAUUUAAAAUUCUUUAUAAGAUGGUUACGAUAUUAUAGAAGUGUGUAUGAUUCAUGCUGCGCUAUAGUCAACCUUCGUCUCAAUGGAAACUUUCAAUGUCCCUAAAUUAGGUUUUGGGGAUUUUUAGUUAGAACUUGCUUGUUAAAUAUUAGUCAAAGUGAUUUCCAUAGUAUUUAAAACUUUUUACGAGAUAGAUACGAAAUGUUCUUUGGAGUGAACUUUAGUCAUGUCGCGAAGGUUAUUAUUUACCGAGUUCUUGUCGACAUCCCUGUCCACGGCGAACAGGUGGUUGCUACGUAUUCAAUCUACGAAAGUCUCCGGGUCUUGAAUUUUCUAAACUAUAUUCAGUAGAGUCCAGAUCAGUUGUCAGUUUUAUUACGCGCCAAUCAGUUUGUAACGACACGUCGAAAUUUAUAAUGAAGUACUGUUUGCCCUGAA